AGUACAAUAUUAAAUGGGCUUGAAUGAAUAGUAUUACUGUUGGCACGCAGACUGCGAUUUGCGAGGUCCACCUUGUUUUUAGGUUAUGCGAGGUCCACUUUAUUAAUUUUAUGUAAAUAAAUACUACUCGGUACUCAUAACGGAAGUCGUUUUGUACAAGGUUUUAAGUCAAACAUUGGUAAUAUAAAUCACGAAUAACUUUAAAACUAUUUAGUUUGGAAAUGUGAAAACCAUACAAAUAUAUUUGUCUUGAAAAACACUUCCAUACAAAGUAUACAAAUACCAAUGCCAAUAAAUAUUUUUAUAUAAAAUAAAGAAUCAAUGUUAGGCUUUAAAGACCAUGUUGUUAUCCUAAACAAUUUGCUUUGUGAGUACGGAAAGAGUAUACAAAACAAAAUACAAAGUAGCUAUCGUGGCCCAGCACACCCAAAAAAAAAAAAGAAACCUGAUCUUCUUACGUUUCAACCCCCUCAAUCCACCGAAGGAGUUUACAGGGAGUAGCCACUAUUUUGACGUGGAAAAAGCAACGUCGCAAACUAGAGACUCACAAGUCUCGUCUGGUCAUGUCCAUGCCGCGAAAAUGUCUGAUCAAGCGUGCGGUCCGGCACCCCGCCGAUCGUCAUAGUCCGUGCACUUGUGCUCCCGGUCCCAGACCCACGAAAAUGUCAUGCUACUCCUCGAGGCUCGCCGCAGCUCGAUUGCCAAACUCGGAGGUCGAAGAGAACGACCUACUGCAGCCAGCAGUCUCAGGUUCGUGUUUCGUUUCCAAUACGCCAUGCCCCUCGCGAUUCAAGCACCGCCGCAGUCGACGUCGCCUCCCACUUCCACCACGUUUGGUCCCCCUACCUCUCCCUCCGGCAUAUCAUUGAAGACCGAAGGAUUUAUUUAGGUAGGUUUUUCCUAUGUCAAGUUUCUUAGCUCCUCAGCAACGAUGAAAGGAAGGAUGGAAUUGCUUUCUCUAUUGUGGCUCGGUUGAAAUGAGAACGACAACUACGACGUUAGCAUCCUCAUCGGUAUGAUGAUAUAAAUACUUUUUAUUUUUGGAUGACGACAUCGAAACGGAGAUAGUGUUGCCGGUCUCUUCUUUGUUUUAUGAUGGUUAGAUCUAACCACGACGAAGGACUAGGAAGAAUAAGUUUAAUCUUCCUUGUUCUUCAGCGGUAGCAAGAAGAAGAAAAAGAAGAAGAAGAAAGACACU
rnacentral:lncRNA from 1 species